CUUUCAACUUCCCCUCUCCGGGUUGGUUAUGAUUUUUACUAUUGCUCUCAGUCAACAACCACAUAAGGGAAGCAACGGUUAAUGGCAGAACAGUGUGAGGGUGUGAGAAAGCCUCAUCCUGCCUUCCACAUUUCUCAUUUCUAGGGCAGAGAUAGGGAACCCACAUCUCUGAAUCGGUUGUUGGGCUCCAACUCCCAUCAGCCCCACCCAGAAUGGACAGUAUUAGGAAUGCCGGGAAUUGUAGUCAAGCAACAUUUGGAGGGCCACAGGAUCCCUAUCUUUGCCAUAGGUAAAAAAACCGGAUGGCUGCAUUAGAGUAACAGCAGCAGUACCGUGAUAAACCUCAGUGACCCAGUGGAAUGGACAUAUUUUCUGUGGAGUGAAUAUCAAAAAACAACAACAAAACAACUUGCAUCUUUCGCCAAGAAAGGUUAGUGGUGGAUGCACACAUUAGAGAAGAGAGACGGUCUGAAGCAUGGGAGAAGAAGGCGAUGCGAUGUUCUUCCUGGCAAUAUUGACAGUGGUUGAUAAAUGUCCAGUAUCGUUGGAAAAUGCUUUUCUGGGC